CGCGUAGGCGGCUUCUUAAGUCGGUUGUGAAAGCCCCGGGCUCAACCUGGGGAGGCCAGCCGAUACUGGGGGGGCUUGAGUGCAGGAGAGGGAAGUGGAACUGCCGGUGUAGCGGUGGAAUGCGUAGAUAUCGGCAGGAACACCCGCGGCGAAGGCGGCUUCCUGGACUGCGACUGACGCUGAGGCGCGAAAGCCAGGGGAGCGAACGGGAUUAGAUACCCCGGUAGUCCUGGCCCUAAACGAUGGUCACUAGGUGUCGGGGGUAUCGACCCCCCCGGUGCCGCAGCCAACGCAUUAAGUGACCCGCCUGGGAGUACGGCCGCAAGGUUGAA
rnacentral:rRNA from 1 species